ACAUGGCUAUAUAUACAGGGUACCAGUACUGAGUCGAUGUGCAGGGUAUGAGGUAAUAACAUGGCUAUAUAUACAGGGUACCAGUACUGAGUCGAUGUGCAGGGUAUGAGGUAAUAACAUGGCUAUAUAUACAGGGUACCAGUACUGAGUCGAUGUGCAGGGUAUGAGGUAAUAACAUGGUUAUAUAUACAGGGUACCAGUACUGAGUCGAUGUGCAGGGUAUGAGGUAAUAACAUGGCUAUAUAUACAGGGUACCAGUACUGAGUUGAUGUGCAGGGUAUGAGGUAAUAACAUGGUUAUAUAUACAGGGUACCAGUACUGAGUCGAUGUGCAGGGUAUGAGGUAAUAACAUGGUUAUAUAUACAGGGUACCAGUACUGAGUCGAUGUGCAGGGUAUGAGGUAAUAACAUGGUUAUAUAUACAGGGUACCAGUACUGAGUCGAUGUGCAGGGUAUGAGGUAAUAACAUGGUUAUAUAUACAGGGUACCAGUACUGAGUCGAUGUGCAGGGUAUGAGGUAAUAACAUGGCUAUAUAUACAGGGUACCAGUACUGAGUCGAUGUGCAG